GAUCCUGGCUCAGGAUGAACGCUAGCUACAGGCUUAACACAUGCAAGUCGAGGGGCAGCAUGGUCUUAGCUUGCUAAGGCCGGUGGCGACCGGCGCACGGGUGAGUAACACGUAUCCAACCUGCCGUCUACUCUUGGACAGCCUUCUGAAAGGAAGAUUAAUACAAGAUGGCAUCAUGAGUUCACAUGUUCACAUGAUUAAAGGUAUUCCGGUAGACGAUGGGGAUGCG
rnacentral:rRNA from 1 species